rnacentral:rRNA from 1 species
AUUGAACGCUGGCGGCAGGCCUAACACAUGCAAGUCGAACGAGUGGCGGACGGGUGAGUAAUGUAUGGGGAUCUAGCUCAUGGAGGGGGAUAACUACGGGAAACUGUAGCUAAUACCGCGUACCAUAGGAUGAGCCCAAGUGGGAUUAGGUAGUUGGUGAGGUAAAGGCUCACCAAGCCGACGAUCUCUAGCUGGUCUGAGAGGAUGACCAGACACCCUGGGACUGAGACACGGCCCAGACUCCUACGGGAGGCAGCAGGGGGGAAUAUUGCGCAAUGGGGGCAACCUGACGCAGCCAUGCCGCGUGAAUGAAGAAGGCCUUCGGGUUGUAAAGUUCUUUCGGUGGCGAGGCGUUAACUGCAGAAGAAGCACCGGCUAACUCCGUGCCAGCAGCCGCGGUAAUAC